GAUGUCAAAAUAGGAUCAUCAAACUUAAGCUUCAGCAGCAAACAUUUAAAUUCUCUAAGAUUGCUUUAUACUAAAAGAAAUCCAAGUAAAUUGAUGUACUGAAAUCAGGAUAUCCUAGAUUUCUUCUCUCCACCACUUCUACCUAGUUUUAUCUUCCCUUAUUUAAGUGAAAAGUCUGAUUUAUUCAUGAUCAUUCAUAUGUUUUUGUUUAAUCAUAUAAUGUUACUAA
rnacentral:misc_RNA from 1 species